UGUUACUUGUCGGUAAAGCCAGCGAUACAAACAAACUACUGACCCAUUAGCGGUGAUGCGGUACUGAUCGAACAAACGAUCUUGUGAACAAGGAAUCAGUAAUUAAAUCUGCCUUUUAUAAACUGUACGUGCGAAGACUACAGAGAUGGGUACGCAUAAACCCAGAGCGAUACUGGGUUCGGCAAAAUUCGAAAAAUAAGAUGCUGUUAUUCGCAGCUGGCCGUGGAUGGUGUUCUUACUCAAAGUCGGUGCGCACGCUCGGGGCAAGCUGCUCGAGUUUGGUUUCGU